AGAUGGCUCAUUGGCACCAAUCUUGAGCACUGCACGCCAUUUGGCAAACCUAGCACCGGCUUCAUAGUACUUUUGGCAGCGCUCCGCAAGGCCAUCAAGACCCUGGGUAGUUGUCUCACCAUUGGUUCCGGGAAGCUCUACGGUACCCUUGUCGACUUUAAUUCCAGGGAGGACUCCACCCUCCUUCAUAACAUCAACAAAAGGCUUGCCAGCUGCUGUCUUCUGAUAAAGGGUUUCCUCGAACAAGAUAAUUCCACUAAGGUACUGAAGAGCUCCAGGUGCGCAGAAGAGCAGCUCUCGAAGAGCCCUCCUGUUUGACUCGACAUUCUCAACAUUAAUGCUGGAUAGACGCUUGCCAAUUGUACCAGUAGACUCGUCAGCAGCAAGG
rnacentral:misc_RNA from 1 species